rnacentral:rRNA from 1 species
UACGGGGGGUGCGAGCGUUGUCCGGAAUCACUGGGCGUAAAGGGUGCGUAGGCGGGUCUUUAAGUCAGGGGUGAAAUCCUGGAGCUCAACUCCAGAACUGCCUUUGAUACUGAAGAUCUUGAGUUCGGGAGAGGUGAGUGGAACUGCGAGUGUAGAGGUGAAAUUCGUAGAUAUUCGCAAGAACACCAGUGGCGAAGGCGGCUCACUGGCCCGGUACUGACGCUGAGGUGCGAAAGCGUGGGGAGCAAACAGGG